UACAGAGGGUGCGAGCGUUGUUCGGAAUUAUUGGGCGUAAAGGGCGCGUAGGCGGUGCGGUAAGUCACCUGUGAAAUCUCCUGGCUCAACUGGGAGCUUGCAGGCGAAACUGCCGUGCUGGAGUGUGGGAGAGGUGCGUGGAAUUCCCGGUGUAGCGGUGAAAUGCGUAGAUAUCGGGAGGAAUACCAGUGGCGAAGGCGACUUCCUGGCCUGUUCUUGACGCUGAGGCGCGAAAGCUAGGGUAGCAAACGGG
rnacentral:rRNA from 1 species